GACGAACGCUGGCGGCGUGCUUAACACAUGCAAGUCGUACGGUAAGGCCCUUUCGGGGGUACACGAGUGGCGAACGGGUGAGUAACACGUGAGUAACCUGCCCACAACUUUGGGAUAACGCUAGGAAACUGGUGCUAAUACUGGAUAUGUGCUCCUGCUGCAUGGGGGGGGUUGGAAAGCUCCGGCGGUUGUGGAUGGACUCGCGGCCUAUCAGCUUGUUGGUGGGGUAGUGGCCUACCAAGGCGGCGACGGGUAGCCGGCCUGAGAGGGUGACCGGCCACAUUGGGACUGAGGUACGGCCCAGACUCCUACGGGAGGCAGCAGUGGGGAAUAUUGCACAAUGGGCGCAAGCCUGAUGCAGCAACGCCGCGUGCGGGAUGACGGCCUUCGGGUUGUAAACCGCUUUCAGCAGGGACGAAGCUUUUUGUGACGGUACCUGCAGAAGAAGCACCGGCUAACUACGUG
rnacentral:rRNA from 1 species